rnacentral:rRNA from 1 species
AGUGAACGCUGGCGGUAGGCCUAACACAUGCAAGUCGAACGGCAGCACAGUAAGAGCUUGCUCUUACGGGUGGCGAGUGGCGGACGGGUGAGGAAUACAUCGGAAUCUACUUUUUCGUGGGGGAUAACGUAGGGAAACUUACGCUAAUACCGCAUACGACCUAAGGGUGAAAGCAGGGGAUCUUCGGACCUUGCGCGAUUGAAUGAGCCGAUGUCGGAUUAGCUAGUUGGCGGGGUAAAGGCCCACCAAGGCGACGAUCCGUAGCUGGUCUGAGAGGAUGAUCAGCCACACUGGAACUGAGACACGGUCCAGACUCCUACGGGAGGCAGCAGUGGGGAAUAUUGGACAAAGGGCGCAAGCCUGAUCCAGCCAUACCGCGUGGGUGAAGAAGGCCUUCGGGUUGUAAAGCCCUUUUGUUGGGAAAGAAAAGCAGCAGGUUAAUACCCCGCUGUUCUGACGGUACCCAAAGAAUAAGCACCGGCUAACUUCGUG